CUUGCCUCAGUCCGCCUCUCGGCUCGGCUCUUCCCGGCAGCCUCUCCCCGGCACCCGAAGCAUCCCCGAGCUCCCCACCCAUCCCCAAAAGAGGGCUCGCCAUUGUCUUGUGCCUCCUCUCAGGUGACUGAACGUCACUUUCGGGCAAGAAGCCUGGGGAGCUUCGGAACCGGGCGGAGGAGAGCGCGGGGUGCGGAUGCCAGCGCGGGGUGCGGGAUGCCAGCGCCGGGCAUUCUCCGCGGCGGGCUGUGGAGCCGGCGGCCUUCUGCGCUCCCGCUGGACCGGUCCUCAGGGGUCCUUAGGGAAAUUAUCACAGAACCGACUCAAUUGUAAUUAAUUAAUCAAAAGAGCCUGGCUAACUGGACUACCUGCAGCUAGCGAGGUUAACUCACUGGGCUAGUUGGCUUUCGACUCCUGAUUAACUUUUAUUAACCCUGGACACGAAAUACACAAACCCGCUUCAUUUUUUAAUGACCUAAAUCAUCAAAGCGCGGCUGCCGCCGGACCGGUUGGUCUCCGGUUAGUCUCCGCAGGGUCCAGAUGAGAGGAGGGAGCGCCCGGGGCCGCCCCACGGGCAGGAGGGCUGCCUCCCCGGCCCUUCUGGCCUCUCCCGACCGCAGCCGCUCCCCACAGCCCGCAGUCUAACUCCGCGCCCUUUUCUCCGUGCGCAUUAGUAAAAACCAGGUGAAUAAAAGAAAGCUCAGUGGAUAGCAGGAGGAGAAAACCCUACAAAACGCGUUAUGCGGUACACGUAUCGAUGAGACCGUAAAGAUCUCCUGGAAUGGAGGGCCAGCUCCGCAAGCAGGCGGAUGAUGCCGCUGCAGAGCACGAAGCCGGGUCAGCAUCCGGCCCGGAGAGGCUGGCUGAGCCAUCCUGCAAAGCCCAGGCUGAGGUUUAGACAGCCUCUCCGGGAGCGCCGAGGGGCAGGCAGCAGCGGGAGAGGAGCGAGAAGCCGCCCCCAAGCUCUUCUUCGCCAAAUGCCCAAUCUGUCGCAGGGGCCGGCACUCUGGGCCCUCACCUGAAGGAGGUGAGGGAGCCAUGAGUUUUACCCGCGGCUUUGAAGGUCGUGUCAGUGGAAGGUGCUCUCACAGACAGCCGGGGAGUGGGUGCGUGGCGGGAUUUAUCAGGUCUGUAUUCCAGGCAGAUAAACUAUUGUUUAUCAUCCUCCCCGAAUCACGUAUAAAUAGACACAUCACUGAACAAAGAGAACUAUUUAACUGAUGCAACACAGAUCUUCCCUAAAAAAAGAGAGAGAAAGAGAGGCUUAAUGUAAACGUCGCGUUUCCUAUUUUCGCGGCUCUUAUCUGACCUAUAAAACAGGUUAUCGAGUUACUGCAAGCAAUCGCUUAAAGGACCGAAAGCAAGAAGAGGGGGUUCCCACACCCCCCCCCCCGCCCCGAUUUUCCUGAAGCAAUAGAUCUCCUUUCCUUAAUCCACAGCCGAAACACCUAAAGUCUGUCAGUCGCAAAAUUGCGUGGCAGAAAUCUUUAAUCGAUGCCACAUGUGGGAUGCACUCUGGGGACACAGCGCUGCCGGCGGUGGAGCGGGCAGAGCGCGGGGCCCGCGCAGGCAGCGCGGCCGCGGGGGAGAGCGCACGGGGGAGACCGAGGGGAGUGAGAGGGCGACAGGAACGCCUGACAGGCGGGCUGCCCUGCCGCGGUGACAGAGCAUAAAUUAAUUUUUGAAAAGAAGUCCAAAAGGUUAUGGUUGCUUCUGCAUGACUCAUACUUUUUCAUGAAGACGCCUCCUUUUCCAAGUGAGAUCUUUGGAUCAAGCAGAAGAAAGAAUGAUGGAGACAUGACCAAACAAGAUCUGCAAAUUUCCUAUCUUUAAAGUAUUUGCACAGAGUCAAAAAGGAAACAAUAGAAACACAAAUCUUCAAGCUGGCAUGAAAAAUAGACCAGACAGGCAUUUGCAGCCAGAUGAAUAUGUUUGAUGUGCUUCUGCGGUGGAAACACAAUGACAUCUACUGGCCGAUGAAGAUGGCUGUCAGAGUGUCUGCUGGAGCAAAACAGCCCAGAGUCGACUCUGCAAGGAAAGGAGAUGACAUUCUUCUGAGAGGCAGGAUGACAAAUCAGAACAACACCCACAGACAUCUCAAGAAAUACAAUAGAGAUUGAAAAACAGAAAAUAUAAGGUAUUUUAUUUAUGUACCACUUGUUUAUUGUUAGCUGAAAAAUAA